rnacentral:rRNA from 1 species
CCUACGGGUGGCAGCAGUGGGGAAUAUUGGACAAUGGGCGAAAGCCUGAUCCAGCCAUGCCGCGUGAGUGAUGAAGGCCCUAGGGUUGUAAAGCUCUUUCACCGGUGAAGAUAAUGACGGUAACCGGAGAAGAAGCCCCGGCUAACUUCGUGCCAGCAGCCGCGGUAAUACGAAGGGGGCUAGCGUUGUUCGGAAUUACUGGGCGUAAAGCGCACGUAGGCGGAUACUUAAGUCAGGGGUGAAAUCCCGGGGCUCAACCCCGGAACUGCCUUUGAUACUGGGUAUCUCGAGUCCGGAAGAGGUGAGUGGAAUUCCGAGUGUAGAGGUGAAAUUCGUAGAUAUUCGGAGGAACACCAGUGGCGAAGGCGGCUCACUGGUCCGGUACUGACGCUGAGGUGCGAAAGCGUGGGGAGCAAACAGGAUUAGAUACCCCUGUAGUC